rnacentral:rRNA from 1 species
UGGGGAAUCUUGCACAAUGGGGGAAACCCUGAUGCAGCGACGCCGCGUGAACGAUGAAGCCCUUCGGGGUGUAAAGUUCUUUCGACGGGAACGAUAAUGACGGUACCCGGAGAAGAAGCUGCGGCUAACUACGUGCCAGCAGCCGCGGUAAUACGUAGGCAGCGAGCGUUGUUCGGAGUUACUGGCGUAAAGAGUGCGUAGGCGGUUGAUCAAGUUUGGUGUGAAAUCUCCCGGCUCAACUGGGAGGGUGCGCCGAAAACUGGUCGACGUCGAGUAUGGGAGAGGAAAGCGGAAUUCCUGGUGUAGCGGUGAAAUGCGUAGAUAUCAGGAGGAACACCUGUGGUGUAGACAGCUUUCUGGACCAAAACUGACGCUGAGGCACGAAAGCGUGGGGAGCAAACA